rnacentral:lncRNA from 1 species
GCCAAGAUUAACGGGUAGUUGGUCAAACUAGGGAGACUACGCUUCUAAAAUAGCCCAACCUAGAACAACCCAGCACAGCCACGCACUAUCCUUUUCUGUAAAAUUGUACUCCAUUCUUUUCUUCUUCUUGUUCCCCAAGAGAAACAGAUUCCAAAAGGUCUCCCAAACCACAAUCCAUUUGAGGUCUCUCUCUAUCAUCUUCCAUUGGAGUAUAUCUACAUUCUCCUAAAUCUGAUUUGUUGAUGGAUCCUCUUCAGAUCUGAUUUAUGGGUUUUGUGUAUUGUUGUUUUUUAUCCCGUAAAUCUGAUUUGUGUUUGGGGCUGCGAAAUAUAUCAGUCAUUGAUGCUUUUCAGCUCUGGUUUGGUCACCGGAAUCUGGGUUUAUCACCAAGUUUGGAUUUUGGAUGAUUGUUCGCAUGGAUGGUGUUCUAUCUUUGUGCUUUCCGAUUUGAAUGUUUAUUUCUAUUGCUUAUCUUUAAAUUUUCAGAUUUGGUAUUUAUGAGCUAAUUGUUGUGGACCAUCGCCCGAUUUCAACUGGUUUCCUUGCCGAAAUCUGGGUUUUUGGAAUUGGCUUUUUGAUGGUCCCGAUUUUGGGUGGUUGUCUCUGUUCUGUCUUAAUCUAUGCUCGUUCGUUCCUCUAUCUUUGGCAUGGAUUGAUUGUGUUGGCUGUAUCCAUUGUUGUUCAUUAUCAUUAUUGCCGGUUUGGCUGGUUCUCCGGCAAGCUCGUCGGUGGCUGUAUAUCGGAACAUCAUUUGGGGACAAUAUGUUACAGGUGGGGCCCACAUGGGCUGAUGGAUGGGAUUUGUUAAGAAAUGUCAUGCGGGGCCCACUACUGGUUUUGAUGGCUGCACAGGGUCCUUUGCACUUGAUUCAAAUUUCAAAUUUCAUUUGGAUCUCAAUUGGGCUCGGUUGAUUUUUGAAGCUCAAAUUGGGCCCUUUGCUUCAUCAUUCCGAAUGGGUUAUUUAUGGCCUGUUUGGUUGUGUCUUAAUCCUAGCCUCAGAUUGUAUUGCUAUUGUAAUAGGUUAGGAUUAUGUUUUCUAGAUUAAGCUAGGUGGUUUUAGUCUCACGGGAGUAGGGACUAAUGUUUUGAUCUUAAAUGUAUUAUCUGUAAUUUUUGCCAAUUUAUUUACAAACCAAAUUUAGCAAAAAAAAAUUAUUCUUUUUCAUGAGACUAAAUGUCAGACACUUUGAGAUAUCAUUUGAAGCUUUCAGUCCUUUUUUAUAUUAUCAAACAUCCAAUAAUUAUAAUUUUAGUUAGGUUAGAGUCAAGCGGCAAGGGUCACACUAAGUUUUGUAAAAAAAAAUGAUCUAAUGUAUCUUAGCGGUUGAAUUUUUUAUGUGCUUCUUUCUUCUUUAAUAUUUUAGACAUUCUGUAU